UACGAAGGGGGCUAGCGUUGCUCGGAAUUACUGGGCGUAAAGGGCGCGUAGGCGGGUCGUUAAGUCAGAGGUGAAAGCCCAGGGCUCAACCCUGGAAUUGCCUUUGAUACUGGCGACCUUGAGUAUGGCAGAGGUGUGUGGAACUCCGAGUGUAGAGGUGAAAUUCGUAGAUAUUCGGAAGAACACCAGUGGCGAAGGCGACACACUGGGCCAUUACUGACGCUGAGGCGCGAAAGCGUGGGGAGCAAACAGG
rnacentral:rRNA from 1 species